UACAGAGGUCUCAAGCGUUGUUCGGAUUCAUUGGGCGUAAAGCGUGCGCAGGCGGCCAUUCAAGUCAGGGGUGAAAUCCUUGGGCUUAACCCAAGAAUUGCCUUUGAAACUGUUCGGCUCGAGACUCGGAGGGGAUAGCGGAAUUGCUAAUGUAGCGGUGAAAUGCGUAGAUAUUAGCAGGAACACCGGUGGCGAAGGCGGCUAUCUGGACGAGUACUGACGCUCAUGCACGAAAGCGUGGGGAUCAAACAGG
rnacentral:rRNA from 1 species